AUGUUUAUAGCAUCUGUAAGGACAAUAGGUGUUUGUGUUUACGUGCGCCAUACAGUGACAGGUACUCAUGGAAAUUUGAAGGGUUUUGGUUGGUGUAUUUGUCUUUUUACAAGGCGUGACUAGGGUUGACCUAUCAAUUAGAAGGGGUGGCAUUUUAAACAAGUAGAAAUAUAAGGAUACACUGCUUUCUUUCUGGAUAUCCUGUCCCUUAUUUAAAAAAACCCUGCCUCUACAAGCUUACACUGCAAGAGUGGCCUUUUAUUUCCAGAAUCAUCAUGGUGUUGAUAUAUGGCCUGUCUUCUUAGGGGCUUCCAAUAAUGGAGGACAAAUCAAUAAACAAGCAUUUACUUGCAAUGAUUUGUUUGAUGGACCACAGCUAGAGAAAGGUAGAGGAGAAAUACAUGCAGACCAGACAUCCUAAACAGCUGAAAUGGCACAACAAGGAAGAUAGUGAUUUGGUCAAUGAGCAUAAGCCUGGUGUAAUAUACCAGAACCAUCAUCAAAUAUUAUACACCUCUGAAACAUCACAAUAGACAGAAUGACGAAAACCUCAUCAAAAUAAAUUCUGUGUUAAAAAACUUGGACUCUGCGAGCUGUAGCUAUGAAGGUGUACCUCCUGCAAAUUAGCCCAAACUUAGAGAAGGUAAGUCUUCAUCAACGUUUCACUACUUAUGUAUAUAUAUUAAAACAAAACAAAAACGUGUUCUAGGCUUGGGCAAUAUGACGGUUUAUACCGUGCGACAGUAGAAAUGUGUCCACCGAGACCUGAGACCACUGCUCAGACUGAAGAAAAUGUUUCGACUACUGAUACUGGAGUGGAAACAUAUCAUCAGCCAGAAGCUGUACAAAGAGACCCCGUCCACAUCUUAAGAGUGAAGUAACCACCAUGCAUGAUGAGGCUGUAACACAGGAAAUUCAACUGGUGAGAAAAGAAUAUCUUGCCAUCUUUGAAAAACUUCCACACAGAUGCUUUUGCUAAUUCAGUGACGUAUCAUUUAGUCAAGGCAAAGCAAUUUUUCUCAGAGGCCUUCUGGGUGGAUCUAGCCGAAUCAGAGCUGCAAAUGAUGCACCAAUCUUUGAGCAAAAUGCCAGCAGAAGGUGUUCCACCUCAUCCGGUCAUCAUCCGCUUUCAUAGUUUUCUGGAAAAGGAACGCGUCUUGGCUGCAGUGAGGGUGAAGGCUUGUGAAAGCGGAGGGAUCCAAUGGGACGGCUCUAAACUUUCCCUGUUCCCUGACAUGACGAAAGAUGUUGCAGAGAGUAGGAGGCAGUUCACCAAGGUCAAAAAGAAGUUGCGUGAUUUGGAUGUUCGUUUCAUGUUGGCAUACAUGGAAGGGAGCGAAGGUGAGCUUUGUGGAUCCUUGAAAGGCAAUGGAGCUGCUGUCUGAAACGGGGGCUAGCGCUGGUGAAAUCUAGGACGGAAGGCAAGGACGACAAGUCAGCAAUUGAUGAACAAUUUUCUUCUACUGUGUAGGGCCCACGGAAGGGACAUAGGGACAUGAUCAAGAGAUCAGGUCAGGACUGGAAUGGAGAUCUGAGUUUUGAAGUCAACUGAAACAUUAUAGUCACUGUUGAGGUGGUUGUGUGUGUGUGUGCACGCGGAGCAUGCAGGACAGUCCAGACAUGACCAAGGUAGUUGCGAUAUCAGAGGUUGUAAGUAUGGCCUGUAGUCUGGGGAUAUUAAUCCAGUACUUACUCACGGGAGGUAUGGAAAAAAGUCCAUAAAAUGCUUGGUCUGUCUCAGUAUAAACAAGGUUACUCAUCUAUAUGGGAAAAUCCCGCAAUUAAGAUAAGGAAGAAAACAGUAUGUUGGAGGGCAUGGCACAUUAGGGGGUUAGCCACAAUUGCUGAUCUAUUUGGGGAAGGAGUGUUCUACUCAUUUCAGGGGAUAAAAGAUUGAUAUAAUUUAACUGAUAAAGGGGACUUUUGGAAAAACCUCCAAUUACAGAGUUGUGUACAGUCUAUGGGUUACAAUACAGGACAGGAGGAAAGUGUAUUCCAAAGGUUUUUAAAGCUUCAGUAUAAUGUACAAUCAUCCUCUUUAGAAACAAUGAAAGUCUUGUGAAAGACAUUUGGCCUAUCAUGCUGUGCUUUGGUGUUUGCUUUCAAUUUCUGUUUUCUGUGUUUGUGUACUUACCUUACCUGUAGACUACCAUGUGAAAAGUAUGUUUUGUACUGUAAUGGUUUAGGGUGUUUGAGGAAAAAAAAAAUCUAAAUGCCGAAAAAAUAAGGGAUGUUGACUCAAGUGGCAUGACCCAUCUCUAGCUGUGAUUGCAAAUGAUUUAGAAAAAAAGGUUUUGAUUUGUUGGAAGUGUAUUUGGUGGUGUCUGGUUGUGUACUGGAUAUAUCUAUUCAUUAUGAUUCCAAGGACAAAGCAAUCCAAAUCAGUUAUUGGUUGUCGCAAUGUAGAGAGAAGGCGGUAUGUCUCGGAGGAUGGUGAUAUGAGUACUGAUGAGUAUUAUGAAGAUAUUCUCGUGGCUAGACUUAGAGAUCAAGCUGCACAGUUUUGCCCAUUACCACCAAAUUUUAAAGACUGUGAUAUCCUAGAAAGACUGAAAUUAUUAUCAAACUGGAGGGAGCUUCAGAAUGAGAUGAUUACUGAUUUAAUAGAUGACCAGGCAUCUUUCAUUCGGUAACACAGUAUAAAUGAGGACACUGAUAAAGAAGAUAUGGCAGAUAUGAUUGAGCUUUAUGGCCCCCCCAUGUGAUGAAUCAGAUAAAGAUUUAAAUCAAGAGGACCGAUGGUCUCUUUAUGAAAAUGGUGGUUGUCAGGAAUUGGUAGAGAAGUCAGACAACCAGUUGAUUUAUAAGACAUUCCUCUGGAUAAUAAUAAAGUCCCACAACUGCUAAGACAUAAACUGACCAAUGUUGUAAACUACUGCACAGAGAACUCACCACCAGGUAGCCAGUUAAAUGUUUUUUUCGUAUGUGGCCCCUCACUCGCCAGUGAUGUCCAAACAAUGUUGACAUCAGACUAUGAGUAUAAUGCAGACCUGUUUUUAGAGCAGGUAGCCCAAGUUCUUCAAAGCCACGACACAAGCAUGACUGGUGACGGGUUAGAAUUUGUGGUAUCAGUAGCCCAGAAUAAAAGCGGUGGUUGUAUCAAAUCGGGUGCUAUUCUAUAUAUGAUCAGGUAAUACAAAAGAAAAAGGCUUGUCUCUACGUACCAGACAAUACAGACAACAGUCUGUGUUUUCCAUUGUACCUUGCUCAUGUUAUUAUCCCUACACCUUUAAGGACAAAUUGGCUUUUGCACAAAAAUUACACCAAGAUUUAGAAUUUAGUCAUUACCACAAGGUUGGAUUUUCUAAUGUUUCCAAAUUUGAGAGACAUCUGGAUGUAAAGAUUAUAAUAUCACCACAAUCAAUCAGUGAAAAAAUUGGAGGAUUUCAGACCAAAUAUUCACUCAAUCACACAGUCAUCUGGUUGUAUCUACAUCAACGACCAUUAUUGUGGUAUUACAAAUAAGACAGGAUUCUUUGCAUCACCUUAUGUCUGUGGGUACCUUUACAAGCCACACAGUACGGUUCUAUUGUAUAGGUGUGCAUACUACUGCAAUGUAUGUCUGUCAGACUGCAACAGCACUUUUUGUGACACCAUUGCACUAUGGCUACAUCAUCAGAGAUAAAAGUGAAUUUUUCAGGGUCUGAUACCAAUUCAUACAAUGGUAGAUCAGUCCGUAAACUGGAUCUACCCCACAAGCUGUUUAGGAUUAGCUUGUUGCAGCUUCCUGACUGCUUUGUUGACACAUAUGUUUUUGGGGUUCAGUCUUAUACCUUCUCUAGUUUAGUCAUUCUCAAUGUAUUCACGCUGAGCCUCCUCACCAGUCAAAUGGCUGGGGUAGGCUGAAGCCUCCUGCUUACACUUCAGAAAACUUCCACACAGAUCGUCAUUAUUUCAUUAUAAUUUCAGUUGAAAUACCUAAUUUUGACCAUUGCAUGUCACUAACAGUAUUUAAUUGAAGGGUUCCUUUAAUUUUUUUUUUACCAAAACACGUAGAAACCGGAUGAUCCAUGUUUGUACAGAGUUGCUGUGAUUGGCUAGUUAUGAGUUAGCUAAGCCUGAUUGGUUGUUUGAUUCAGACCAAAUACAAAGGGGUGGGCGCCCACAGAUGUUGUUAGUGACAUGCAAUGGUCAAACUUAGGUAUUUAAACCAAAAUUAUAGUGAAAUAAUAUUGCCUACUUCAGCUUUGAAAUACAUAAGUAAUGAAAUUUUGAUGAAGGCUUACCAGGGCUGAUUUGCAGGAGGUACACCUUCACAGCUAUGGCUCACAGAGUCCAACUUUUUUAAUACAGAAUUUAUAUUGAUGAGGUGUUGUGCAUACAAUUUAACAAAAAGACAGAAUACUGAGGAUUAUUCUCUAAGCCUGAUCAGACCAUAUGUACAAAUAAAAGACUUAUCAUCAUUCUGUCUGUUGUGAAGUUUUAGAGGUGUAUAUUAUUUGAUGAUGGUUCUGGUAUUAUUCUUGCCAGCCUCAUGAUCAUUCUACACAACAGACAAUUGAUGUUUUACAUGGUAAAAUUUCAAAAAGCAUCACUUAACCUUAAGAUAAUGCAGAAAAAGAAUAACCAUUGGCAAAGUAUAUAUGAAUUAAUAUUAUACAGUAACUCACCAAUGCAAGUGGAUGCUCCUUUACUGUUUUGUCCUCCAUUAAUGGAAGCCCCUAUUAAAACGGGGUUCAACCAUAGUACGAAAAAUACAUUUUGGUCUUUGUUUUGUGCUGGUUUUGUUACACCUUAAAAACAAAAAGUCACAGUAAUAGUUCAAUACUCACCAGUAACUAAACUUCAAGGAUGACCUGCAAUUUUCUGUUGUUAAACU